rnacentral:rRNA from 1 species
ANAGNNGUCCUGGNUCNNANUGAACGCUGGCGGCAUGCCUUACACAUGCAAGUCGAACGGUAGAGGGGCAACCCUUGAGAGUGGCGAACGGGUGAGUAAUAUAUCGGAACGUGCCCAGUCGUGGGGGAUAACGCAGCGAAAGCUGCGCUAAUACCGCAUACGAUCUAAGGAUGAAAGCGGGGGAUCGCAAGACCUCGCGCGAUUGGAGCGGCCGAUAUCAGAUUAGGUAGUUGGUGGGGUAAAAGCCCACCAAGCCGACGAUCUGUAGCUGGUCUGAGAGGACGACCAGCCACACUGGGACUGAGACACGGCCCAGACUCCUACGGGAGGCAGCAGUGGGGAAUUUUGGACAAUGGGCGCAAGCCUGAUCCAGCAAUGCCGCGUGCAGGACGAAGGCCUUCGGGUUGUAAACUGCUUUUGUACGGAGCGAAACGGUCUGGGUUAAUACCCUGGGCUAAUGACGGUACCGUAAGAAUAAGCACCGGCUAACUACGUGCCAGCCGCCGCGGUAAUUC